rnacentral:rRNA from 1 species
GUCUAGAGGCUUCGGCAAUGGGCGAAAGCCUGACCGAGCGACGCCGCGUGCGUGAUGAAGCCCUUCGGGGUGUAAAGCGCUGUCAGUAGGGAAGAAAGCCCGGGAGGGGACCUUCUCGGGCCUGACGGUACCUGCAGAGGAAGCGCCGGCCAACUCCGUGCCAGCAGCCGCGGUAAGACGGAGGGCGCAAGCGUUGUUCGGAUUUAUUGGGCGUAAAGGGCGCGUAGGCGGGCGAGCAAGUCCGGUGUGAAAUCUUCAUCGCUCAACGGGAAGAGGCCAUUGGAAACUGCUCGUCUUGAGGCCGUUAGAGGGAACCGGAAUUCCUGGUGUAGCGGUGGAAUGCGUAGAUAUCAGGAAGAACACCGAUUGCGAAGGCGGGUUCCUGGGGCGGUCCUGACGCUGAGGCGCGACAGCCAGGGGAGCAAACGGGAUUAGAAACCCGUGUAGUCC